UAGAAAGAUGCUUCCAGUAUCUUUCAUUUUUCACUUUCCUCUUCGUUUCUUCUCUGUCUUUCCGUUUCUCUCUAUUUCUCCGUCUGUCUUUUGGUUUCGAUUCCAAUCGUCUUGUUGUUUUCCACGAACGAAUUGCUUUGGUUUAGGUGUGUUUGUUCGUGCGUUGCUUUAUUUUCUGUUUGGUUAGGAAGAAUCGCAACGUUCAGACAACCCAUGGAUGAUAUUUCGCUCAAACUCGCAGAUCCAUGUUCGAUCCUCCAGUUUCAGAGCAAAACAUUGAUCCAGUUCCCAGAUCCACCAGAAGCAAAGGAUAUCCGGUUUUUCGGGUUUCUUGUUAAGUUUUUAGUAAGCUGAUAUAUACAGGAAUUGGAUUUUAGAGGGAGCUGAAAAGACAGAGAGAGUGAGAGGCAAGGUUUUUCACAACUGCAACUCUGCUACACUGCAGAGAGCAACAUUUCAUUCAUAUUCAUUCCUUUCUUUUACAUCAGACAUCAUAACCAUUCAAUUACAUGAGCCAAUGUGAUUUUGACACAUGGCAGAACAAAGCAUAUGAGCCAUUGAAAAAGAGUCCUGAUCUAAGACCAUACACUUGGCAUAUGAGCACAAGUUAUCACAUCAUAAAACAGCUACUCAAUAGAACAAAGAUAAAAUAGAUAAGUAAAUCAUUUACUAACUUGAAAUUAGUAAGCAAUUUACUUUUCAACAUUUCUGACAUUUCUUUGCACCCUGCGAAGGCCUCUGUGUUUAAGCUGAAGUAACUAGAGUUGAGAAAGAACAAUUGGAGCUUAGAGUCUUUGCAUAUUUGAAAGGCUUUGUACUCAAUUGUAGGGCAUUGCAUGCAACGGACCCUGAUAGCAAUUUUGGGUGAGUUUUGAUUCCUGACACACUCCGGUUUAGAACGAGGCAUGCUGGCCAUCAUGAGGGU